rnacentral:lncRNA from 1 species
AGAGCCCCGCCUCGCCCCCGACUCCCCGGAGCUGACCGGGUUCUCCGACUUCAUUCGGCCUCCCAGCCAGUUGCAGCUAAGGACGCCCAGGCUGCCUCCAGCUUCCCCGUUGCAGUGAUCUCCGUGGCCGCAGCCGUCCCAGGAAGAAAUGUCCGUCCCUUUCCUCCCCGCGGAGUCUUGGGGCUCCGCCGAGUGCUGGCUUCUUCGCACUCACCACGGAAUCAGCCAGCCAGGGCCCCCCGUGGCGCUCGCCUCCCGGGCUUCGGAAAUACCGGGUCCGGCAGCGUUUCCCACGCCUCGGACUGCAGGUGAUGCUCUUCCUCUUCUGCAGCUGAAACUCCUCGCAACGAGUCUGUGUCGCCCGCCCGGGUUUUUGCAGGGCAGAACCGCGAUCAGUCUCUGCAAGCUUACUGGACGACUCGGACUUUGUCGUCCUCCAACUUCUGGAGAUGUGAUGUUUUAAAUUUUUAAACUAUUUAAAAUUUUAAAUAGUUCUCGUUGUCCAAC